rnacentral:lncRNA from 1 species
UAUUUUUCACAUUAUGUUAUUUAUUAUAUGCAGGGUUCACGCACAGAGAGAGACCAGAGGAAGUACAGAAAUGUAGAGGAACUGCCAUUGUCCAGCGAUGCAAUAUCACUGUGUGCCUUAUUUUCAAAUGUGAACUAAUGUAGUACAGGGCAUCGACAACUGAACGUGUUUGGAUAGUCACUAAGUCACUAUUUCUUUUGUUUAUUAUUGUAAUUAUUAUUUUCAUGAAUGAUCCAAUCUAUGGCAUUUGUUUUUGCUUUGAGUUUGCUGGCUGAAGUUGUAGCACCUGGCCUGAAGCCUAAUUAGGCUAAUGGUAUCAGUUCGUUUGACACAGUUGACAGUUGUUGUUGCUGUUGUUUGACACAAGCCAUGUUUUGUAAUGUGCAUUUAAACAGAAUUUAAAUGUUUUAAAAUGUGAAUCUAAUUGUUUUGACUCCUUUUGGGGUGGAGUUCUAUUAUUUGUAUUAAUACAAUUCAUUUUCUGUAAUGUCGACCAAAUGCAUGUUGU